rnacentral:tRNA from 1 species
CUGUAGCGCUAUAGAUAGCGUGUUGGACUUCUAAUCCUAAGGUCUUGGGUUCGAAUCCCACCUUUGA